rnacentral:misc_RNA from 1 species
GUGAAUCAUCAAAUUUUUGAACGCAAAUUGCACUCUCUUCGGAGAGUAUGCCUGUUUGAGGGUCAGUAUUAAUAAAAAUCGGAGUGUUGCUUCUUUGUGAUGCUCCGGGGUUUGGGUUAUCUUAGUAUACUUCAGGUUUUAAGAGGCUUAAUAUUGACUUUUUUUGCGCAUUAUAGACGUACAUAAAUUCUUUUUUUUAUUCGUCUGUCUUAAUGCUCUUUUUUUUAUCAGAUGCGACCA